GAUCUCAGCGCCGACCAGCUCGUCCUGCAGAGGAGCGAGCAGCUGCGGGAGCUCUACGAGUCCCUCCUCUCCGGCCAGUGCGACCACCGGGCGAGGCGCCCCGCCGCCGCGCUGUCGCCGGAGGACCUCGGGGACGCCGAAUGGUACUACACCGUCUGCAUGAGCUACGCCUUCCGGCCUGGCCAA
rnacentral:rRNA from 1 species